GACGAACCACACGAACGUUAUUCGGAAUUACUGGGCUUAAAGGGUGCGUAGGCGGCGCGGUAAGUAGGGUGUGAAAUCCCUCGGCUCAACCGAGGAACUGCGCUCUAAACUACCGUGCUUGAGGGAGGUAGAGGUGAGCGGAACUUAGGGUGGAGCGGUGAAAUGCGUUGAUAUCCUAAGGAACACCGGUGGCGAAGGCGGCAUUCUGGACCGAUAUUGACGCUGAGGAGCGAAAGCCAGGGGAGCAAACGGG
rnacentral:rRNA from 1 species